rnacentral:rRNA from 1 species
GAUGAACGCUGGCGGCGUGCCUAACACAUGCAAGUCGAACGGAGAUUACGGACGGAAGUUUUCGGAUGGAAGACUGUACUUCUUAGUGGCGGACGGGUGAGUAACGCGUGGGCAACCUGCCCUAUACAGGGGGAUAGCAGCUGGAAACGGCUGGUAAGACCGCAUAAGUCGGUUAAAUCGCAUGAUUUGAUCGGGAAAUGAGCAAUCAGGUAUAGGAUGGGCCCGCGUCCGAUUAGCCAGUUGGCAGGGUAAAAGCCUACCAAAGCGACGAUCGGUAGCCGGACUGAGAGGUCGGACGGCCACAUUGGGACUGAGACACGGCCCAAACUCCUACGGGAGGCAGCAGUGGGGGAUAUUGCACAAUGGAGGAAACUCUGAUGCAGCGACGCCGCGUGAGUGAAGAAGUAUUUCGGUAUGUAAAGCUCUAUCAGCAGGGAAGAUGAUGACGGUACCUGACGAAGAAGCCCCGGCUAACUACGUG